CACUCCUGCGGGAGGCAGCAGUGGGGAAUUUUGGACAAUGGGCGAAAGCCUGAUCCAGCCAUGCCGCGUGCAGGAUGAAGGCCUUCGGGUUGUAAACUGCUUUUGUACGGAACGAAACGGCCUUUUCUAAUAAAGAGGGCUAAUGACGGUACCGUAAGAAUAAGCACCGGCUAACUACGUGCCAGCAGCCGCGGUAAUACGUAGGGUGCAAGCGUUAAUCGGAAUUACUGGGCGUAAAGCGUGCGCAGGCGGUUAUGUAAGACAGUUGUGAAAUCCCCGGGCUCAACCUGGGAACUGCAUCUGUGACUGCAUAGCUAGAGUACGGUAGAGGGGGAUGGAAUUCCGCGUGUAGCAGUGAAAUGCGUAGAUAUGCGGAGGAACACCGAUGGCGAAGGCAAUCCCCUGGACCUGUACUGACGCUCAUGCACGAAAGCGUGGGGAGCAAACAGGAUUAGAAACCCGUGUAGUCC
rnacentral:rRNA from 1 species